UACGUAGGGUGCGAGCGUUAAUCGGAAUUACUGGGCGUAAAGCGUGCGCAGGCGGCUUCGCAAGUCAGGCGUGAAAUCCCCCGGGCUUAACCUGGGAAUGGCGUCUGAAACUACGGAGCUGGAGUGUGGCAGAGGGAGGUAGAAUUCCACGUGUAGCGGUGAAAUGCGUAGAUAUGUGGAGGAAUACCGAUGGCGAAGGCAGCCUCCUGGGCCAACACUGACGCUCAUGCACGAAAGCGUGGGGAGC
rnacentral:rRNA from 1 species